ACAGUAUAUUUCUAAAAUACAUUAUUUAGUAUUCUUUAGAAACAGUAUAUUUUAAGUACAUUUUGAUAUGUAUAUGGGGUGUACAAAUGUAUAUUAUUUUAUGGAGAAAUAACGUGGGCUUAAAAUUACGAGAGAGCAGUAUGUUCAGUUACAUUUUAUAUUGUAGAUGUAUACAUUUGUAAUAUACUAUUAACAUAAUAAGGUACACUUUAACUUCACUAUAGUCAAGCAUUGGAUAAAUCAAUUAACUGUGUUUUACCACAAAAUAACCAUGGUUUUGCUAAUAAUAAUCAAUACACCAAAAAAAAAAAAAAUACUAAACUUUUACCACAAAAAAACAUUCAUUUUCGUAAGGGGAAUAUGAGUGUUUGUUUUUUUGUAGUUUUUGAGUCAAUUGCAUACCGCUUUUAGCUGUACACAUUAAUUAACUUAAACAGUUUUCGUAAAUGCAUUUCAGAGAAAAGUGAAUUCUGAGAUUUGAAUAAUGCAUCUGACGUGUGUGAUGACGUCACGACGCACGUAUUUUGAUUUUUACCAGUCGUUCAAGACGGACGGAUUCAGUCCCAAGAAGCUAAAGUUUUUCAAAGACAUUUGUAGGGAGGACUUUGCAGCUAAUGGAGCUGAAGUAUUUUAUGUAAGGAGGAUUUUGCAGCCCAUAUAGAUUUCCUUAGGCUGAACCAAAACCUGCCAGACUAAAGUU